rnacentral:rRNA from 1 species
UUCCGUAGGUGAACCUGCGGAGGGAUCAUUACCGAGUUUACAACUCCCAAACCCCUGUGAACAUACCACUUGUUGCCUCGGCGGAUCAGCCCGCUCCCGGUAAAACGGGACGGCCCGCCAGAGGACCCCUAAACUCUGUUUCUAUAUGUAACUUCUGAGUAAAACCAUAAAUAAAUCAAAACUUUCAACAACGGAUCUCUUGGUUCUGGCAUCGAUGAAGAACGCAGCAAAAUGCGAUAAGUAAUGUGAAUUGCAGAAUUCAGUGAAUCAUCGAAUCUUUGAACGCACAUUGCGCCCGCCAGUAUUCUGGCGGGCAUGCCUGUUCGAGCGUCAUUUCAACCCUCAAGCACAGCUUGGUGUUGGGACUCGCGUUAAUUCGCGUUCCCCAAAUUGAUUGGCGGUCACGUCGAGCUUCCAUAGCGUAGUAGUAAAACCCUCGUUACUGGUAAUCGUCGCGGCCACGCCGUUAAACCCCAACUUCUGAAUGUUGACCUCGGAUCAGGUAGGAAUACCCGCUGAACUUAAGCAUAUCAAUAAGCGGAGGAA